AGUCCAAUGCUUGUCUCAAAGAUUAAGCCAUGCAUGUCUAAGUAUAAGCAUUUAUAUUGUGAAACUGCGAAUGGCUCAUUAAAUCAGUUAUUGUUUAUUUGACAGUCUUUUACUACAUGGAUAACUGUGGUAAUUCUAGAGCUAAUACAUGCAACAGACCCUGACUUAUGAAAGGGUGUAUUUAUUAGAUGGCAAGCCAACGCCCCUUGGGGUUUUUUGGUGAAUCAUGAUAACUCAACUCAGCACAUUGCCUUGCGCUGGUGCGAGGUCAUUCAAAUAUCUGCCCUAUCAAGUUUCGAUGUGAGGGUAGUGUCCUCACAUGCUUUUGACGGGUAACGGGGAAUUAGGGUUCGACUCCGGAGAGGGAGCCUGAGAAACGGCUACCACAUCCAAGGAAGGCAGCAGGCGCGUAAAUUACCCAAUCCCGACACGGGGAGGUAGUGACAAGAAAUACCGAUACAGGGUCCUUUGUGAUCUUGUGAUUGGAAUGAGUACAAUUUAAACCCAUUAAUGAGGAACAAGCAGAGGGCAAGUCUGGUGCCAGCAGCCGCGGUAAUUCCAGCUCUGCUAGCAUACAUUAAAUUUGUUGCGGUUGAAACGCCCGUAGUUGAAGUUUGGGCUGGGUCUCGUGGUCCGCCUCACCGCGUGUACUGGUGAGACCUGGCCUUUCCUCCUGGAGCACUGCAUGCUCUUUAUUGAGUGUGUUGGGAAACCAGGACUUUUACUUUGAAAAAAUUAGAGUGUUCAAAGCAGGCAAAUUUGCCUGAAUACCUUAGCAUGGAAUAAUGGAAUAGGACGUCAGUUUUAUUCGUUGGUUUCUAGGACUGACGUAAUGAUUAAUAGGGAUAGUCGGGGGCAUCAGUAUUCAAUUGUCAGAGGUGAAAUUCUUGGAUUUAUUGAAGACUAACAGCUGCGAAAGCAUUUGCCAAGGAUGUUUUCAUUGAUCAAGGACGAAAGUUAGGUGAGCGAAAACGAUCAGAUACCGUUGUAGUCCUAACCGUAAACUAUGCCAACUAGGGAUCAGGUGGCGUUGAUUUUGACCCAGC
rnacentral:rRNA from 1 species